rnacentral:lncRNA from 1 species
AUGGUGAACAAAUUUUUGGCUACAGGUGCUAUGGAUUCAAGGUUAAAUACUACUAAUAUCUGUAUGAUUCCAAAGACAGAGAGACCUACAAGAAUGACGGAACUGAGACCGAUAAGUCUAUGUAAUGUGGGUUACAAGAUUAUUUCGAAAGUUCUGUGUCAACGACUGAAAAUUUGUCUCCCUAGUCUAGUAUCAGAGAC